UACGAAGGGGGCUAGCGUUGCUCGGAAUCACUGGGCGUAAAGGGUGCGUAGGCGGGUUUUUAAGUCAGGGGUGAAAUCCUGGAGCUCAACUCCAGAACUGCCUUUGAUACUGAAGAUCUUGAGUUCGGGAGAGGUGAGUGGAACUGCGAGUGUAGAGGUGAAAUUCGUAGAUAUUCGCAAGAACACCAGUGGCGAAGGCGGCUCACUGGCCCGGUACUGACGCUGAGGUACGAAAGCGUGGGGAGCAAACAGG
rnacentral:rRNA from 1 species